rnacentral:rRNA from 1 species
UACGGUAGGCAGCGAGCGUUGUUCGGAAUUACUGGGCGUAAAGAGUGUGUAGGCGGUGCUCUAAGUUCGGUGUGAAAUCUCCCGCUUAACUGGGAGGGUGCGCCGGAAACUGGAGUGCUCGAGCGUGGGAGAGGAAAGCGGAAGUUCCUGGUGUAGCGGUGAAAUGCGUAGAUAUCAGGAGGAACACCUGCGGUGUAGACGGCUUUCUGGACCAUUGCUGACGCUGAGGAGCGAAAGCGUGGGGAGCGAACAGG